rnacentral:rRNA from 1 species
AAAUUGAAGAGUUUGAUCAUGGCUCAGAUUGAACGCUGGCGGCAGGCCUAACACAUGCAAGUCGAACGGUAACAGGAAGAAGCUUGCUUCUUUGCUGACGAGUGGCGGACGGGUGAGUAAUGUCUGGGAAACUGCCUGAUGGAGGGGGGUAACUACUGGAAACGGUAGCUAAUACCGCAUAACGUCGCAAGACCAAAGAGGGGGACCUUCGGGCCUCUUGCCAUCGGAUGUGCCCAGAUGGGAUUAGCUAGUAGGUGGGGUAACGGCUCACCUAGGCGACGAUCCCUAGCUGGUCUGAGAGGAUGACCAGCCACACUGGAACUGAGACACGGUCCAGACUCCUACGGGAGGCAGCAGUGGGGAAUAUUGCACAAUGGGCGCAAGCCUGAUGCAGCCAUGC